CCGGCUCUUAGGGUUCACAUCAUGCGUUCUCACCCUCGCGUGAGUCAACUCACCGGAUCCCUAGAGAGAGAAAAGCCCUAGGACCCCCCCGUCCUUUCUCCUGUCUCCAUUUUCUUUAGCGGCGGCGGCGGCGGCGGCCGAUUGAUUCCCGCGCGGCGCAGCAGCGGUGGAUCGAAUCCUGGAGGCGCUUCUCCUGCGCAGAGGAUUACAGCGCAAAUCAUUGGCUGCUUGCGACGCGAGCGGCUGGCGGAAUCAGGGGCCAGGGAGGAGCGGUAGCAGCGACGGCUUGAUCUUGGUGCGCUUCCAAGUCACGGCAAGCAGCGAAGGUUCUGUUCGUUCUUCUCCCCAAAUCAAGGGAAUAUACCAGGCUUGUUUUGAUAGGCGGCGGCUACACCUGGGCAGCGCGAGUCCGCCGCAGAGGCUUACAGCGCGAAUCAUUGGCUGCUUGCGACGGGAGCGACUGGCGGAAUCAGGGUCCGGGGAGGAGCGGCAAGCAGCGGCAGCAGUGACGGCUUGAUAUUGGUGCGCGUCCACCUCACUGCAAACAAUAAGGUUCUGUUCGUUCUUCUCCCCUAAUCAAGGCUCGCAAGCAACACCAUCUGUACGAGGCUGGUUUUGGUCAGCGGCGGCUACUCCUGGGACGGCCGAGAGACACACACAAAGAUGAACUCAGUGACAGAGAGCGGAUUGAACUCAGUUACAGAGAGUGGAUUGAACUCCCGAUGACAGAAAGCCGAUUGAACUCAGUGACAGAGAGCGGAUUGAACUCAGUGACAGAGAGCGGAUUGAACUCAGUUACAGAGAGUGGAUUGAACUCGGUGACAGAAAGCCGAUUGAACUCAGUAAGAGAGAGAGGAUUCUUCAGUUUGGUGGAUGAACCUAUGGUGACAGGAUCGAUCGACUCCCUGCUCGCUAAGCUCAACUUCACCACCAAACUGAAGAAGAGGCGUGCCAAAGUAAUGAAAGAACUAUAUCAAGAUGUGUUGAAACUAAAGAAAGGUUUCGACAAUCUUGGCGGGGGCCGGGUGAUGGAUCCAUGUGCCCUAUUGUGGACGCAGUUUGCUAGAGAUCUGGUCUUUGACAUUGAAGAGUGGGUUGAUGCGAAGCCGGGUUCCGCAAAUUCAUCAAAGAGAGAGUUAAUUGAUCUGUUCAAGCACCGGAUCCAUAAUGUGUGUGAGGAGUUCACGUGGUGCGACCUUCUCGGUCCUACCGAAGAUCAGUUCAAGCUUAUCCAUGAUUUGCAUAAAGAUUUGGAGAGCCUUAAGAAAGAUCUCCCCUAUAAGUUUGGCCCACCGGUGAAUCCUGAGCAGUCAGUGUGGAUGGAUCAAACAUGUGAGCUGGUCAGCAAGGUGGAAACUUUGGUCCAUCAAAAGCCAAUAAAGGACAUGGAUGAAUCAUGGGAAAAACUAAUACAGGAAUACAAGGCCAAAAUACAACAAACACGUGAUACACCCAGUACAGCCCCCAUUUGCUGUCCACUGCUUUCUGAGGAGAAAACCCACAACCUCAUUGGUCUCAAAGGACCAAGUAGUAAGCUUCUCAUGCAUCUGACUUCCUCGCAGGCAAGGCUAAAGCUGGUGUCUGUCGUCGGAAUGGAAGGCCUUGGUAAGACUACUCUUGCCAAGGAGGUAUAUGCAAAGCUUCAAAGCAAGUUCGAGUGCCGAUCUUUUGUUACUGUUGGCAAAAACGCGUAUCUAACUGCCACUCUACUGGAUAUACUUCAUCAAGUAAAGCCACAGGGUACUAUUCCUCGCAAUGGCCCGGGAGCUCCUGAAAUUAACCAAGUCGUAACCGAGCUCAGGGAAUACCUCGUCACAAAGAGCUAUUUCAUCUUAAUUGAUGACAUUUGGAGCAUCCGGGUAUGGGAUAUUCUUAAUUGUGCUUUGCCUGAGGAUGAUCUUGGAAGUAGAGUAUUGAUCACAACUUGCAUCAGCAAUGUUGCCAAAUGUUGUUCUAUGCGCCCCGUUGAUGCCAUCCACCAGAUGGAGCCUCUUAGCGAGGAAGACUCAAAGACAUUAUUUCAUGAGGAGGUAAAAAGGCCCGCUGCAAAUGAGUUGUUGAAAAUGUGCGGUGGCAUGCCAUUGGCAGUAAUUGUUGCAGCCGGCAGGAAAUCUGCAGGACUAGCUGAGUCAGAGAUCGGUGAGCGAUGUAUCCUUUCGACAUCAGACCAAUAUUCCACAUCAGAUGGGAUGAGAAUGAUAUUGCAAAUGAGCUAUGAUGAACUGCCUGCUCCCUUGAAGUCUUGUCUUCUAUACCUUUGUGUUUUCCCAGAAUAUUAUACCAUCAAGAAAGAGCGUUUGAUAUGGCUGUGGAUCGCUGAGGGAUUUAUCUUAGGAAGAUGUGAAGAAAGCUUGUGGAGGACAGGAGAAAUCUCAAAUCUAUUUCAACGAGCUCAUCAGUAGGGGGCUGAUUCAGCCAGUGUUUGGCUACGAAGAUGGCCAGGCUGUGGCGUGUACGGUGCAUGGUGUGAUCCUUGAGUUCAUCAAAUCUUUGUCUAGGAAAUACAAGUUUGCUACGACGGGUGCAGACUUGAGGUCUGGAGUAUGUCCUUGGUACCCAAUUCGCCAUUUCUCAGUCGAUUACUGCAGUAAGCAAGAUGAAGUGAACACAUUGGACUUAAGAACCCUGCACCUUUCUAGCAUGCGGACCCUCCAAGUCUUUGGGCCUGUUGGAUGGACAACUCUCCGCACAGGUUCUAAGGUUAUGAAAGGGAAGGCUGUUGCGGGGGAUACUGAGGGGAUCCCUCUUCUGUCAACCUUCAAAAAUUUACGGGUACUCGAUCUGGAAGAUAAUGACAAUUUGAGAAGCCACCAUCUGAAAGGCAUUGGAGGGUUGGUUCUGCUAAGGUACCUGGGGCUUAGAGGGUCUGCUAUCUGUGCAUUACCAGACGAAAUAGGAAAGCUGGAGCACUUGGAGACGCUAGAUGUCAGGCACACUAACCUGAGAAAUCUGCCUGCAUCUAUAGUUGGAUUGGAAAGGUUGGUAUGCCUACUGAUUGAAGAUGCCGUGGAGAUGCUGGGCAAUAUCCUUGUAAUGCAAGGACUACAAGAAGUAUCAACGAUCAGGGUCGACAACAUCGAGUCACUCCAUGAGGUGGUGGAGCUGCUGGCUCGGUCGGAGAGGCUGAGCAUCCUUGGCUUGAGCUUUGACGGACUAAGCCCAUCUCUGGACAGUGCACGUGCAUUCACCGAUUUAUUGAGGGCGGUUGGACAGUCUAAACUUCGGUCCCUAUCUCUGCAUUGUCUUCAUGGUGACUGGAUUGGCCUACUGGACUCGAGACCAUACCAGCUGCGAAGAUUUGAGGUGUCUAUACCUGUUCCAGUCUUGGAAAGUACUGUAUUUAUUAUUCCCUGCUGUAUCACCCACUUGAAUAUUGAAGUGGCUCAGUUGGGAGAGGAAGGUCUCAUUGUGAUCGCGUCCAUGCCCCAGCUUGUCCUUCUCAAAUUAGCAUCUUCAGGACCUGCUGCUGCCAUGAUGGACACGGACACAUCCUUACGAAAACAGAGAAGAAGAGCGAGAAUUCGGAGCGGAGCCUUUCUGUGUCUUAAGGUGUUCUGGUUCACAUGCAAGGCUGGUGGGAAUGAGGUGCAGUUUGAUCCAGGAGCCAUGCCACAGCUGCAGGGGCUGCGGCUCCACUUCAACACUCUAGAGACGCUGUCCCUUUAUGGAGAUUUUGAUUUUGGCAUUGAGCAUCUCUCUAGUCUCAACAGAAUCCAUGUGACCUUCACAUGUGAGGAUACUGCCGCUCCAGAGGUGGUGCAUGCAGAGGCUGCCAUCAAACAGCAAGUAUCUCAGAUCUCCUCCGCCAACACACCAACAAUAGAGUUCAGCAGAGAGAAACCCAGGAUGCUCGAGGAGAAAAAGAAGACGGUGGCCAUGAUCACCCAGAAAAGUAGCUUCAGUAGAUGGUUGAGGGGAAAAAGGAGAGGAUAGGCCCGCUUACAGAGAAGGAACACGAUCACUCUGCACGAAAUGAUGAUUGUAUUUCUGGUUAAGCAAGUGGCGAAAUAUCAACCGUUGAGGUGACGACUCCCAACUUUGCUUUGCCUGUUUUGUUUGUGAGCUUUACAAUUUGUAGGUGUCUUUUCCCAUUGUGUGCAAAGUUAUUUCCAGCUGACAUGAUGGUGCAUGAUUGAUGGACCAACUCAUGGUAAUACUAUAGUAUAACUCUAUGCAAGCGUAAACUUUUUAACAAAUGGUAUUAUGGUA